GGUGACUGCGUACCUUUUGUAUAAUGGGUCAGCGACUUAUAUUCUGUAGCAAGGUUAACCGUAUAGGGGAGCCGAAGGGAAACCGAGUCUUAACUGGGCGUUAAGUUGCAGGGUAUAGACCCGAAACCCGGUGAUCUAGCCAUGGGCAGGUUGAAGGUUGGGUAACACUAACUGGAGGACCGAACCGACUAAUGUUGAAAAAUUAGCGGAUGACUUGUGGCUGGGGGUGAAAGGCCAAUCAAACCGGGAGAUAGCUGGUUCUCCCCGAAAGCUAUUUAGGUAGCGCCUCGUGAACUCAUCUUCGGGGGUAGAGCACUGUUUCGGCUAGGGGGUCAUCCCGACUUACCAACCCGAUGCAAACUGCGAAUACCGAAGAAUGUUAUCACGGGAGACACACGGCGGGUGCUAACGUCCGUCGUGAAGAGGGAAACAACCCAGACCGCCAGCUAAGGUCCCAAAGUCACAGUUAAGUGGGAAACGAUGUGGGAAGGCUCAGACAGCCAGGAUGUUGGCUUAGAAGCAGCCAUCAUUUAAAGAAAGCGUAAUAGCUCACUGGUCGAGUCGGCCUGCGCGGAAGAUGUAACGGGGCUAAACUGUGCACCGAAGCUGCGGCAGCGACGCUUAUGCGUUGUUGGGUAGGGGAGCGUUCUGUAAGCCUGCGAAGGUGUCCUGUGAGGGAUGCUGGAGGUAUCAGAAGUGCGAAUGCUGACAUAAGUAACGAUAA
rnacentral:rRNA from 1 species